rnacentral:rRNA from 1 species
UACGAAGGGUGCUAGCGUUACUCGGAAUUACUGGGCGUAAAGCGUGCGUAGGUGGUUUCUUAAGUCUGCUGUGAAAGCCCCGGGCUCAACCUGGGAAUUGCAGUGGAUACUGGGGAGCUAGAGUGCGGUAGAGGGUAGUGAAAUUCCCGGUGUAGCGGUGAAAUGCGUAGAGAUCGGGAGGAACACCAGUGGCGAAGGCGGCUACCUGGACCAGCACUGACACUGAGGCACGAAAGCGUGGGGAGCAAACGGG